AUUGAACGCUGGCGGCAGGCCUAACACAUGCAAGUCGAGCGGAUGAGUGGAGCUUGCUCCAUGAUUCAGCGGCGGACGGGUGAGUAAUGCCUAGGAAUCUGCCUGGUAGUGGGGGACAACGUUUCGAAAGGAACGCUAAUACCGCAUACGUCCUACGGGAGAAAGUGGGGGAGUCUUCGGACCUCACGCUAUCAGAUGAGCCUAGGUCGGGAUUAGCUAGUUGGUGAGGUAAAGGCUCACCAAGGCGACGAUCCGUAACUGGUCUGAGAGGAUGAUCAGUCACACUGGAACUGAGACACGGUCCAGACUCCUACGGGAGGCAGCAGUGGGGAAUAUUGGACAAUGGGCGAAAGCCUGAUCCAGCCAUGCCGCGUGUGUGAAGAAGGUCUUCGGAUUGUAAAGCACUUUAAGUUGGGAGGAAGGGCAGUAAGUUAAUACCUUGCUGUUUUGACGUUACCAACAGAAUAAGCA
rnacentral:rRNA from 1 species